AACGCUAGCUACAGGCUUAACACAUGCAAGUCGAGGGGAAACGAUAUUGGAAGCUUGCUUCCGAUAGGCGUCGACCGGCGCACGGGUGAGUAACGCGUAUCCAACCUGCCGUCUACUCUUGGACAGCCUUCUGAAAGGAAGAUUAAUACAAGAUGGCAUCAUGAGUCCGCAUGUUCACAUGAUUAAAGGUAUUCUGGUAGACGAUGGGGAUGCGUUCCAUUAGAUAGUAGGCGGGGUAACGGCCCACCUAGUCUUCGAUGGAUAGGGGUUCUGAGAGGAAGGUCCCCCACAUUGGAACUGAGACACGGUCCAAACUCCUACGGGAGGCAGCAGUGAGGAAUAUUGGUCAAUGGGCGAGAGCCUGAACCAGCCAAGUAGCGUGAAGGAUGAAGGCUCUAUGGGUCGUAAACUUCUUUUAUAUGGGAAUAAAGUUUUCCACGUGUGGAAUUUUGUAUGUACCAUAUGAAUAAGGAUCGGCUAACUCCGUGCCAGCAGCCGCGGUAAUACGGAGGAUCCGAGCGUUAUCCGGAUUUAUUGGGUUUAAAGGGAGCGUAGGCGGAUUGUUAAGUCAGUUGUGAAAGUUUGCGGCUCAACCGUAAAAUUGCAGUUGAUACUGGCAGUCUUGAGUGCAGUAGAGGUGGGCGGAAUUCGUGGUGUAGCGGUGAAAUGCUUAGAUAUCACGAAGAACUCCGAUUG
rnacentral:rRNA from 1 species